rnacentral:rRNA from 1 species
AUGGAGAACGGGAAGUCGGUGGUCGCCGAGCUCGCCGCGUCGUUCAGCGGCGUCCAGGUCACGCCGCGCCGGAAGCCCACGAGCACGCCGCCAGCGGCCAGCUUCUAUUCUCCCAUGAAGGCCAGGCCUCGGAAAUUGGUUAGUUUGUGCAUUGGCGUCCUUGGUCAGCAUCUUGAAGAUAUUAUCAAUGAUAUUUCUGAAUUUACUGCCUUCUUCCCACCACACAUAAAGUUGGCAAUUAUGUCUAUCGCGAGGAGGAGAAGAUUACUGAAUGACGAUGUUCUGGUUUCUCUUGUUGAUAGCUCCUGGAAGAUCCUAGAUAUAUCUGGGUCUGAGGUUACUGAUGUUGGCCUGGCUACUGUGGCACGUACUUGUAGUAACUUAUGGGCAGUUGAUAUUAGUCGAUGUGAAAAAAUAACUGCUGCUGCCGUUUCAGAAAUUAUAUGCCACUGCCCAUCCCUGGAGAUAUUAAGAUGCGGAGGCUGUCCAAGAAGCGAAUUCACUGCCCGUGGGUGUGUCAAUCUCCUGAAACCCAAACUGAAUACCCUUGAAGAGGACUCAUGGGAGGAGCUUGAAGCAGUAGAUUUUGGCAGUGGCGCACAGUCUUUAAGAUGGCUAGUCUGGCCCAAGAUAGAUGAUAACUCGAAGGAAAUACUUGCCGUGGAGUGUCCUCGUGUUAUCGUCAACCCGAAGCCAUCACUCCUUGACCUCGGUGGAUCCAAGACCCCAAGUGAAGCAUUGGCAAGCUUACCACUAGACCAUUCUGUGGUACAAGACAUUGAUCCGAAAACAUGGGCAGUUUCUGCUGCCCCUCGAAGAAUAGCUGCUGCUCCACCUCUUCCAAAUGCUCCGCCUGAAAUACCAAUCGCGGAGAGGUUCAGGCUAGCGUAUGUGGAGAGGGACGCAAGGCUGGCGCCGAAGAGGGCCAGGAGGGAGAGGCAGCACCAACGCCGCGCUGAAAGGGAUUACUUGAUGAAUGAUAUCGACGCCAAGUCUGUCGCCCUUGCGAGUAAAUACCUGAGCAAGGGCUAG